UACUUACUAGCCUUCAGGGCACAAUACGAAGGCAAAAUGGAUUUGGCCCACGAUAUGGUAAGUUUUCCAUAAUUUUGAUCCUCUAUCUGCCUGACUAGUUGAGUGAGGAAUUAAUUGGUAUUGUUUCACUGAAUCGAUUGGUGGUGGUAUUAUUAGAGAGGUUAAGAUACCCCGGUUCCGGUUUACGGGUACGAGUAUCGCCAUUUUGUUUACCAAUUUUUGCUGAUGUCAGCAAUUUUACCCGUAAUUUCUACCCGUUUCCCCGCGGUAAACCGUGGUCUACACGUAAACGGCAAACGGGUGCGGGUGUUUUCUGUUUACUAUUUUUGGGCCGUUUAAAUAGUACAAAUUUUCAACAUCUUACCCAAAUAAAUAAUGCACAUAUGCUGGUCAAAGUAUUCAACAAUUUAUGGCGAACAUCAACAGCGAAAGUUGCCAUUCUCUGAUCGGUUUUCUCACGCCGGAGUAUCUUGGAUUUCUUAAGUUACAAAUUAUCCCCCGAUUUACGGGUACGGGUACGUGUAUAUCACCCGUAUCCGUAAACCGGAAUCGGGGUAUCUUAACCUCUCUAUUGUCUUCGUGGCAUGCACUGAACCGAAGAUAUAAACAUACAAAUUCGUCAGCUUCUAGAAGUUGACAUGCGUGGAACUUGUCGAGAAAGAGUUAAACCACCUUGCAAUUCAUUAGCAUAUGAUUUAUAACAAAAUGCCCAUAUGCAUUAAAUUAAUGUUUUGAAAACCUGAAAUUUCUUACAAAAUGCGCUCUCAGAAUGCUGCAAAUGCUAUUUUGGGGAUCCAAAUUUUAAAACUUUUCUGGGGGAGAAUUCCCCCAUACCCUCCUAAAAGUCUUGCGCCUUCGGCACUCGCCGAAUAUUUUGCAAAGUUUCCGCCACUGCAUAUCUUCUACACUGACUGAUCGAUAAAACGAACGAUAUGGUUGUUUAUAAUUGAAGUGUAUCCUGUCCCGGCUGUACGAUAUUCAAAAACAAAGGAUUUAUUUUAUAACGGUAUCCUUUCAUUUCCCAAACAUCGCCAACUGUGUCGGUAAAAAUCCUAUCCUGACUGUGAACGCACAUGAUUAAAAACCGUUAUGGACAGCUGUAUUAUAUCAACUUUAAUCUUUAUCGUAUACUGUAAUCGACAUUUUCACAACCUAUCUAUCAAUGGAAACUUUAAAAGGCUUAUAACAACUCAUUACAUACAUUAAGUAAUUCUAUGAGCGAGACUUCGUGCGCAUAUACAGUUUAUGAAUUAUGUAUAUAUAUCCCUGAUAAAACGUGGGGACACUUUAUACCAAAAUAAUAAAUACUUUUGCUAAACCUUAUCGGCUAUCAUUCCUUUACAUUGAAGGGGCAAGGGUGAAUGGCGAGAGAAUUAUAUAGGAGAUGCUGUGCAAUAUUUUGGCUUCAACAUACAGGUACUCAUGCAGACAAAAAAAUAAAUGCAUAAAGUUGUGGACUGUCAUGACGAUUGUCGUAUAAUUGUGCACUGUCGAUCCCAAACAAUUUUGUACGUUAACACUCCUAGUCCUUCCUACCUGAUGUUUAAUAUAAACGAUGAUAACCUAAAACAUCUACAGCACUAUGUUUAUAAACGGUUUUAGAAUCAAUAGAAUGGACAUUCAACGUCUAUUUGGCUAGUGUCCAAAUGUGUAUAACGUUUGCUGUAAGACCACCAAGGUCUACGACCUGCACAGUCGCUUUCGAGACCUCUAUAGUAUUUAACAAGUAAAUAAAUGCAAAGUAUAUACCGUUUCCAAAUGACAACAAUUCAAUGGCAUACAUGUAUUAUAAGAAUAUUAUAAAUAUCUGAACCAGAGCCAGAACAGAAACGUAUGCGCGAAAUGAAACUGCGCCGGCCCGAACUCCGAGAAUAAAAGAGCAAAUAUUUCAAAGCAUACGAUCAUACGUUUUCAUUGCUUGAUUUCCUGACUUGUCUGUUGCUAUAUGAAUCUGCAGUUUAGCAUGUUUGUAUAAUUUAAAAGCAAACAGAAACCAAAUUUAGGAAGUAUUUUGAAGUAAUUAUGGUUCUCAAAGAUGAUUGUACAGAACGCUCACUCCUUGCAAGCAAAGUGUGAAAUGCGGAAGUGGAAACAUGUAAUAUGAGAUUUUUCCCUCACCCUCUUCGGCCAUCCAUUUUCUAUGCGUCACGUAACCAGCUCCGACCAGCAACGAGGUUGACGGCAUUUAAUGAUAUUUAAGACUAUGUUCGCACAAAUAUCGGACUAAUCGCAAAUUCGUCCAGUUCCAUUUGUUACACAGGAAUUCCUCGGGUUAGCUGUGUUUGAAUUUGUCCAGUUUCAUGUGUCCCAUGUGAACGCAUAAGGUGAUAUAAUCAUGAAAUUGUGAGUACGGUUCAGAAUUCGUUCAGUUCCGUGUGCAGUGGGGUCGAAUGGGUCAUAAUCAUACCGACCAUGUCCAAAAGUAAAUAUUAUAGAAUCUAUUAAAUAUUUUAUUAAAAUUUAAUCAUUAAUUUUGUUCAAUUUUAAGAUGGUGCUCAUAAGCAUUCCAACGCGUCAUUUUUAUUCUCCCUACGCAACAAAGACAACCUUGCUCCGUUUAUUGCCAACGUCAAGCAAGGUCAGGAGCAUUAUGCAAUCUUCUGUCACUCUGGUUAUGGAGCAACGUAUGGUGGAGCUAAUGCUCAUUUCUAACAAUCCUCAAGUUAGUCAAUCAUGCAGCAAUUUUGGAUUCGCAUAUCAACUUCCUCCUGGUUAUGUCUUUGGCAGUGAACAAGCAAAGAACCUUCUUGCUGGUCAGUACCAAUUCUUAACGACAGAAAUCGAAGUCUUCAACUGAAAACUGCCUUUGUUUACUUACUUGAACGACAAAUAACAUUACAUUGAUUACCACACCGCACCCGCCUUCUUAGCAAUCAAUUUUAGACAGUGAUGUUGCAAUACUAUAAAGUAUUAGGAAUUAAUAUGAAUAUAUUAAGUCCUGCAGAACCUUAAAAAUUAAAAUUGGUCGUUAGCCUCAACAGUAUAGCACUGUAGGAGAUAGUGGAGUCAAGAAAUGAAAGGCCUCGAAGAAAAUGUGAAAGACUCAGACUGAUUGUUACAGCCGGCGGUAAUCAAUUAUUGUAUUAUUAUUUUGGUUAAUACAAGUAAUCAACAUUUAGGUUAAUGUUCGGAAAUUGACAGAACAUUAAUUUUCGACCAAGCUAGCACUUUACAUCGGAUCCUAUCUGACCAUUUUACACCGCAAUGAUAAAAAACGGUGUCAUUUGGCAGCUAAAAGCCUAUCUUUAUUAGUGUGCGAAAAGUAAAUGUAUAAACUUGGUAUCUAUAACGCACGAUAUAAACAUGCCGAAGUUGUUUUGCCAUUUUUGAGACACCCUGCACUAUACAUGUUGAAGAGUUUUCGAGAUUUCCAUCUACAAAAAACCAUUCAACGUUUAAUAUCGACUGAGAUGCCUGAAAUUAUGAUAUUUAUCCUUAUACCUUACACUGGCAUCACGUAGUAUGUGUAGUAUUAUAUGUACUGUAUACAUGGACUUGUGGUUAAAACUCGACAAGUGGAUUUUGUAGCUCAGUGAGUACUGCACCGGAAUCGCAGGGCGGCAGGUUUGAUUCCUGCCAGAGGGCCUAUAUAUAUAUAUAGUUGCAUUUUUUGCAGUUGCUCCUGGUUUGGUGUAUAAACGUAUAAAAUUUACACUCGAGAUUUCCAUCUACAAAAACUCUUCAACAUUUAGUAUCGAGUGAGGUGUCCAAAAUUAUAUGUACCUUUUUUCCUUGAUCUUGAUAUAAUCAAUGAUUUGCAAGCUUUCUCAGUAAUUCUUAUAUAUGUACAUAUUCAAUUUAUUAUCAACAUGGCCGCCGAGAUGUUCAACGCUGAGUAAGCACGAGACAAAACUUAAGUUUGCAAGGGGGCCCUUAUGACGCCAUAAUUGUAAAGGGGGAGAAGCGUGUUUUACAAUAUAUCACACUUUAUUACAUAUCCGACACUAACGCAGCUAGGAUUUAUAUUUUCAGUUAAGAAAUCUUGUAUCGAGGAAUUUUACGGGCAUUCGUUGCUUUGGUGGCCCCUUUUGCUAAUUGAUUUUGGGGUCCGGGCCAAAGCUAAAAGUGCCUCCCCCCGAUUAUGAACUAUAUUACUUUGGACUAAUUUAUGCUAUCCAGGUCAUGUAAAUAUUUUACAAGGAAUUAAAUUUCAAAAACCAAGUGCUUUCUAGUAGGCUCCU
rnacentral:lncRNA from 1 species